AACGCAUAUGGCACCCGAGACCUCGGUCGAGGGUAUGUCUGCCUCAGAGUCGGCGUAAAAUAACUCCCCAGUUGGCUCCCAGUGAGUCAUACCGGGGGAACUGAUCUUCCCGCAUCGCUGGUGCGGGUUGGUCGAAGGGUAGAUACGGGUACACGUGACCGGGGCCGUUCCCGGUUGACCGAGAUUUGUUGGAUGGACGUCUGUCCUAUCUCCGUCUCGGGACAAGGGUUACAGUCCCGUCACAUUGCACCCGCUUUGCAGGAACACAGGGUUUGGCUUGGCCCAGCGCCAUUCAAGCCCUACUUGCAUCCGACCUGAGUUCAGGCAAGAUCACCCGCUGAACUUAA
rnacentral:misc_RNA from 1 species